rnacentral:rRNA from 2 species
GAGCGAACGCUGGCGGCAGGCCUAACACAUGCAAGUCGAACGAACUCUUCGGAGUUAGUGGCGGACGGGUGAGUAACACGUGGGAACGUGCCUUUAGGUUCGGAAUAACUCAGGGAAACUUGUGCUAAUACCGAAUGUGCCCUUCGGGGGAAAGAUUUAUCGCCUUUAGAGCGGCCCGCGUCUGAUUAGCUAGUUGGUGAGGUAAAGGCUCACCAAGGCGACGAUCAGUAGCUGGUCUGAGAGGAUGAUCAGCCACAUUGGGACUGAGACACGGCCCAAACUCCUACGGGAGGCAGCAGUGGGGAAUCUUGCGCAAUGGGCGAAAGCCUGACGCAGCCAUGCCGCGUGAAUGAUGAAGGUCUUAGGAUUGUAAAAUUCUUUCACCGGGGACGAUAAUGACGGUACCCGGAGAAGAAGCCCCGGCUAACUUC